GCUGGGUGUGGUGGUGCACGCCUGAAAUCCCAGAAGCCCGGGAGGCUGAAGCAGGAGGAUCUCGAGUUCAGAGCCAGCCUCAGCAAUUUAGGGAGGCCUGAGCAACUCUGUGAGAUCCUGUCUCUA
rnacentral:sRNA from 1 species